rnacentral:lncRNA from 1 species
UAGUGGAUUCAAAGUGCAUGUAUGCUUGUACACGUACACUUGGGUUUUAUGAGACCCAACAUUCUUCUUCUCUGUAAAGAUUUGUAGCUGUUUUCUGAGUAGGGGAGACAGUUCAGCAAGUAAACGGAUUUCUGCCUAGCUUCAUGACCUUACCUGGAUGCCAGGGACCCACUUGGUGGAAGGAGAGAAAGGACUUCCACUAAGCUAUCCUCUGACCUGCACACACGUGACAUGAAAUAGCUUGUGCAUGCACAUACUAAAAUAUAAUGAAAAUUUACUGGCCAGCUUCUUGUCUUGUUUUUAGAGAAAGAGAUUAAGGGGCGAGUUGGGCACUGCCAUGUUCUGUGCAUCUAAACAAGGCAAAUCACCAUCCACCUGCCAAAAACUUAGUUCCAUAAGAGUUGCCAACCUCAGUCCCUCCCUUCACAGGAUGAGGAUGUGUGCUGUCAUUGGCGUGUCAUUUCCAUGUGCACCAUCAAUUCCAGGAAUACUUGUUUCCUCAGUGAAGAGUGUAGAGUGCCCAUUCCUUACUACGGAGUAUGACACGUUUGAAUAGAGGCACUGGGGCAGCUUCCUGGACAGCUAUGGUCACGGUUACACACUUUCAAUGUUAUCUUUGUGGGUUUGAGGAGACUUGAGUGGUUCUGGGUCCCUGUAGGUGGAUUGUCUGGGCUCACUCUCCAAUCAGCAGGUGCUGACCAUUUGGAGAAUGGUUUGAGAGAACUGUUACCCCUCCAUUCAGGGGUAUGAAGAAGGGCUUCACCUGUAGUUCUCAUUGUGACUUGACUCAUGCCUGAUGCUGCUUCCUUCCUUGUUUUAGGUGCCACAUAGAUGCAGAAGCAGUGUGCUUGAUGUCAGGAGGUCUCCCCUUUCUUCUCUGUCUCCCCAUUCUUCUCUCCUCCGACCCUUUCUCUCCCCCAUUUCUCCCUCUCUUUCCUUAUGUCCUCUCCUCCACACUUUGGGUAUCAAACCCGGGACCUUGUACCUAUUAGGCAAGUGCUGAAUCAUUGUGCUACAUUCCCAGCUCUCUAACUUUCUUCUCAUUCUUUACAUCUCAUCUUUGGCUCAGUGGAGAAUUUCUUUCUGGGAGCAGAGCUGGCCUGGGAGGAGACAGUGAAGUAAGGAAGUUCUUGGCUCUGAAUUACACACUGUUCUUCCCUCUAGUGACCAUGACCUGGGGCAGUCGGAGCCCACAGGCUGUUCUCUUAAGCAUCCUGUGAUAUGGUCUGAGAGUCCUCGAGGACAUGGUUUCUUUUACUAGUGUUUGAUCUUAUCUUGAAAACUCCGGUGCCAGGGUAGUGCCAAGCACACAAUAGGAGCUCAUAAAAGACAAGUGAUGGGGGUGAUGAACCAGAUUUACAAACUCUUGCCGUCUUGACGGUUUUAUUCUGACC